GUUUGCUGUAGCUCAGUGGUAGAGCAUCCGGCCGGUGUGCGGAAGGUCAUAGUUCGACUCCUGUUGUAGUUGUA
rnacentral:tRNA from 1 species